rnacentral:rRNA from 1 species
CAGAGGGUGCGAGCGUUGUCCGGAAUCACUGGGCGUAAAGGGCGCGUAGGUGGCGACCCAAGUCAGUGGUGAAAGCUCGACCGCUUAACGGCGAGUCGGCCAACUGAUACUGGGUUGCUCGGGCACUGUAGAGGCUAAUGGAAUUCCGGGUGUAGCGGUGGAAUGCGUAGAGAUCCGGAAGAACACCGGUGGCGAAGGCGGUUAGCUGGGCAGUUGCUGACACUGAGGCGCGACAGCGUGGGGAGCAAACAGGAUUAGAUACCCUGGUAGUCCACGCCGUAAACGAUGGGCACUAGAUGCUUGGGGGAGCGACCCCCUGAGUGUCGCCGCUAACGCAUUAAGUGCCCCGCCUGGGGAGUACGGCCGCAAGGCUG